rnacentral:rRNA from 1 species
AGGAUAAACGCUGGCGGCGUGCCUAACACAUGCAAGUCGAACGCUCUACGCAAGUAGGGAGUGGCGGACGGGUGAGUAACACGUGGGAAUCUACCCCAAAGUGAGGAAUACCGGCGAGAAAUCGCCGACAAUACCGCAUACGUUUCGCAAGAAACAAAGCUCGCAAGGGCGCUUUAGGAUGAUCCUGCGGCUGAUUAGCUAGUUGGUAAGGUCAAGGCUUACCAAGGCGACGAUCAGUAGCUGGUCUGAGAGGACGAUCAGCCACACUGGGAUUGAGAACGGCCCAGACUCCGUACGGGGGGCAGCAGUGAGGAAUUUUCGUCAAUGGGGGAAACCCUGAACGAGCAACGCCGCGUGCAGGAUGAAGGUUUUCGGAUCGUAAACUGCUUUUCUGUGGGACGAGCAAGGACGGUACCACAGGAAGAAGCCCCGGCUAACUACGUGCCAGCAGCCGC